UACAGAGGGGGCAAGCGUUAUUCGGAAUUAUUGGGCGUAAAGGGCGCGUAGGCGGCCUGGCAAGUGACGGGUGAAAGCCCUCGGCUUAACCGAGGAACUGCCUGUCAGACUGUUAGGCUUGAGACCGGGAGAGGUGAGUGGAAUUCCCAGUGUAGCGGUGAAAUGCGUAGAUAUUGGGAGGAACACCAGUGGCGAAGGCGGCUCACUGGACCGGUACUGACGCUGAGGCGCGAAAGCGUGGGGAGCAAACAGG
rnacentral:rRNA from 1 species